rnacentral:lncRNA from 1 species
UUCCGUCUUGCCAGCCCAUUCUCUCUAAUGACUGUCUCCCUCGCUGGAUGUGAUGAAGUAGGCUACAUUAUGCAGCACCCCAUGAAACAAAGAAUUGAGUGUGACCACCAGGCAACAUCUGGCAAGGAACUGAGUUCCAACAGUGCACAAGGAAGUGAAUCCUGACAACAGUCCCAAGAGCUUAGGAGUGAAUCCUUCUCCACUCCAGCCUCAGAUAAGUCUUGCCCUUAAUUGCAGCCUCAUGAAAGACUCUGAAACCUUGGGCCCAGUUUCUUGCAGCUUGGUGUGGUGGAUCUCACCUGUAAUCCCAGGACUUUGGGAGGCCGAGGCAAGAGGAUUGCUUGAGACCAGGAGAUGAAGACCAGCCU